rnacentral:lncRNA from 1 species
UUAAAUGUGGAAUUGAGACAUCUACCUGUUUACGUGGUUUUAAUGUUUAUCACCCUAGUGCUACCGUAGCACCUGCGCAAUAUUUACCCCCGUGCUCGGCGCAAUCCCAGCUCCUGUGAGGGAGAGUCGCCCUGGCCCUCCCUCCCCCUUUCGUGCAGAUCUUCAAAGGAUCAAAGGUCAACGCCAGUGAACGGUUUCCACAAACGGAGCUCUAUCGACUCUUCACACAGUAGCUCGUUUCGUUCUGUGUUCUUGGGUGAAUUAUGACGUCGCCGAACCUCGAAACAAUUGAUGUAAUUUAAACGCCUAAGCGGCCGUAAGAUUAGGUCGAGGUUCUUCAAGUGGUUUACAUUUCCCUCAGUGAUGAUUACUACAAGGGGAUGUUUUUUUCACGUCGUAUAACUUCCCUCCAGCUCAUAAUUUUGUUUGUUUGCAUAUUAGCACUACUUAUUGGCAAGCAAAUGAAGGAUUUAUAUGAUAAGCAUCAGCAAAUUAUACGUCUAGAAGACUACAAUCACUUUUUGGAUGAAAUGGCUGUAACAAUGAAGAGCUUCGAGAAACGGCUUGUCAAUCAUUCUCACAAAAUUCGUGAAUUGAGCAAGUUUGUAAAAUCAGAGAAAAGUUCAGGAGUGAGGUGACGAAACAGAAAGGCAGUGACUUGCAAUGUAAUUCAAAUCAUCACUUUUCCCCUCUCUCAUGUCCCAGCUGGAUGCCUUAUUUUUCACUUCUUGUUUCUAUUUGUGUAAGCUCUUUCCCCCUGUGGUUGUCCUUCUUUUUCUAGUUGACUUAUUAUUUGACCAUUUUGUGAGUGAGGUUUCACGGUGAUAUGUACUUUUUUUUGUUAUUUUUAUUUCUUCAAAGAACAAAGUCAGAAAAAACGAAGAGUCCACGACGCUCUAACAAUCAAGAUUGUGUAAAUCAGCACAUCUGCAAGAAAGUUUGGCUAUUCGAUCUUAUUUUUUGUUAAACCUGACUCAAAAAUUGUCUUAAGCAUGAUUGUUUCUUCUCUUUUACUUGUUUUCCCUUGAUGGGUAAAAGAAGCCGUGAUCGUCCAGGAAAAAAGGAAGGAGGAAGAAGAAAUUGAAAUGUUACGGUUUCUAGUACCUAGUUUUUAAAAGCUAAGUCAGCAUUUGACAAUCAGGUGUUCAGCUCUUCUGAAGAUUUUAUAUAGGCGCCUUAAAGUAUAUCAUAUCAAUGAUAUACAUUUAUCCUGGUAUGGAAGACGAAGUAAAAAGGUUUCUUUUCUCAGGCAAUGCCUCUUUUAUUACCUAUUAAAGUUCUAAUGAUGCAAUGGAUAUUGUUGUGCCACCACCCUACCACUCUUAAAAAUAUUUCUUGAACAAUUAAUUUCAGCAUUUGUUGUAUGACUUAAUUCAGUUGUUAUUGUUUUUGUUGCUUUUUCUUCUUUUUGACAUGUUUUUCUUUCUUUCCAUUUGUAAAUCAUUUUUUGACACCCAUUUCAUUAUUUUUCUCAUGACAUCGCCUCUUUUUCAGUAGCCAUUUAAAUUAAAAGUUUACAAAUGAAAACAGGCUGUUGAACUUGUGCCAAAUUUUAAAAGUUUUAUUUCAGAAUUUGUUUGUAAAAGGUCCUCUACUUAAUUAAAUCCAUGGACAGACAUUAUUCCCCCUCAUCUUAUCCUAGCUUUUUAUUCAUAAGUUUAUUUGCAAGUUGCAGUUUCACAAGUUGAUUAAAGUGCAGUUAAGAAGGAUAUACACUAAAUAUGUGAAAGUUUAUCAUACAUAAAUUCAAGGUGUCAACAGAAACUUUGCAUCGUUUCAAUCUGUUAAGUUAUUCGGAAUCAGUAGUGUUAUUUACAGUAUGUAGCUGAAGGAACCGGUGAUAUUCUUUUAAAGCCUGCGUUUAAUUUUGUAAUGUCACCAGAAGUCUAAUUUUUUGCAAAACACGUGUUUCUCAAAAAAGCACUGUCCUCAAAACUUAGGGAAUACUUAAAAUUAAGUAAUUUUUGAGUGAGAUGGAAUGGAUUAUUAAAAGUGCUUACGUCCAAUGAGUUGGUUGACCUUCAGAGUGUAAUAAAAUAUUCGCUACUUUGUCUUUAGCAUAUUUUAGUUUUUAUGUAAAAAUGAAGAUGGUACGUACCUGUUGACACUGAAAAAUUUGGCCACCUACUUUGUGGCAAUAUGAUUUUUAGUGACCGUUUAAAACUCUGAAACCAAUACUCUAUCUCUUCUUCUGAGUUCUGCCCAAUUCAAAAGUCCAUUCAAUCUUAUUAAUUUUAAAUAUUUUUUAUCCUAUACUUAAGUAAUCAUCAUUUUUUUAUUAAUCAUAGUUUGAUUGAAAUAUGCAGGUCUAUCAUUGAACUUCUGUGUUUUUUGACUCGGUAGGACAAAACUUGGUGGAGUAGAAUUAUGUGUUUGGUUAACUUUAUCAGGUGCCUCUUUUGUCGUGUCUGCGUUUGGUGGAAUUGACAAUAAUCGAAAGGCACCUCCAAAAGCUUGUUGGCAAUUCCACCGAGUACAGGCACAACAAAGUUGGAAACUAAGAAACCCAAUUCAUCACCAUCCAUUCCACUUUAGUCUUUUCUUGACCAACUAACUAAUACAAAAUUAAAUAAGCAACUUCCUAGCCCUAUUUUUUCUUUUACAUAAUGGAUAACCUGUAUGGUUACAUAGUUGACAUGAUAAUCUCCUCGAUUUAAAUUAAAAUACCUCCUCUAUUUUUGUAAUUUUCUAUUGAAAUUUCAGUCAUGAUGACUAAAUGUAAAACUGGAGAACGACUUAUAGUCGAGCAGCCUUGUUAUCUAUCAAGCUUGUACAUAGAUUUAAAGAAUAGUUUUUCCAUGAAAAAAAACUAGUCAGUACAUUUAUAACUGCAGAAAUACCUAGUAUAAAAAUUAUUCUAACCACCAUCAAUCCAUUGCAAACAUGUAACCUAUAUCCUGCAAUGAAAGUUUAUCAUCUUUCUGAUACACCUAUUGCACUUACCUUCCUCAAGUGGUUGUCAAUUUUUUUAAAGUCUUGUUAUUUGUCCAUUCUGCAACCACAUGUCUAUCAAUACUCUGUCUUUGGAACAAUAUAAAAUGAUUGUUUGGUUAACUUUGUAGUUUUUCAAUAUCUACCAGC